GAAAUGUUUCUUCUUCUUCUUCUUCUUCUUCUUCUUUUUUUUUUUCACUAAACAUAAAUUCCCAUAAAUUCUAAUUUUUC